GACGAACGCUGGCGGCGUGCCUAAUACAUGCAAGUAGGACGCAGUUGCGAACGGGUGAGUAACGCGUAGGUAACUACCUAUUAGAGGGGGAUAACUAUUGGAAACGAUAGCUAAUACCGCAUACUAGUAGAUUGACCUGCGUUGUAUUAGCUAGUAGGUAGGGUAAUGGCCUACCUAGGCAACGAUACAUAGCCGAGCUGAGGGGGUGAGCGGCCAAACUGGGAAUGGGGACCGGCCCAGGCUCCUACGGGAGGCAACAGGAGGGAAUCUUCGGCAAUGGGGGGAACCCUGACCGAGCAAAGCCCGGGGAGUUAAGGAGGUUUUCGGAUCGUAAAGGUCUGUUGUUAAGGGAGCGGUACUUAACCAGAAAGGGACGGCUAACUACGUGCCAGCAGCCGCGGUAAUAC
rnacentral:rRNA from 1 species